GGAGAGAUGGCUCAGAGGUUAAGAGCACACUGGAUUUUCUUCUAGAGGACCUGAGUUCAAUUCCCAGUCACCCCA
rnacentral:tRNA from 1 species